ACUCCGCUUGAUCCUGGCGGACCCAACUGCUAUCGGGGUGGGACUAAGCCAUGCGAGUCGAGCAACUCCAGACCAUGUUGGAGGAGCGGCGUACGGCUCAGUAACAUGUGGCUAAUCUACCCCUGGGAUGGGAAUAUCCUCGGGAAACUGAGGUUAAUGCCCAAUAGAUAGAGAUGCCUGGAAUGGUUUUCUAUUGAAAAGGGAUUAGGAACAUGUCUUCUAAUCUUGCCUAGGGAUGAGGCCGCACCCGAUCAGGUUGUUGGUGAGGUAAUGGCUCACCAAUCCUGUAACCGGUACGGGCCGUGAGAGCGGGAGCCCGGAGAUGGGUACUGAGAUACGGACCCAGGCCCCACGGGGCGCAGCAGGCGCGGAAACUCCGCAAUGCGCGCAAGCGUGACGGGGCCACCCCGAGUGCCGUCCGCUGAGGAUGGCUUUUACCUGGUGUAAUGAGUCAGGAGAAUAAGAGGAGGGCAAGUCUGGUGUCAGCCGCCGCGGUAAUACCAGCUCCUCGAGUUGUUGGGACGAUUAUUGGGUCUAAAGCGUCCGUAGCCGGCCAAAAAAGUUCUCCGUUAAAUCCGACGAUCCAAUCGUUGGGCUGCGGAGAAUACUUUUUGGCUUGGGGGCGGGGGAGGUCGGCGGUAGUCCCGGGGUAGGGGCGAAAUCCUAUAAUCUCGGGAGGACCACCAGUGGCGAAGGCGGCCGACCAAAACGCGCCCGACGGUGAGGGGCGAAAGCUGGGGGAGCGAACGGGAUUAGAUACCCCGGUAGUCCCAGCUGUAAACGAUGCAGGCUAGGUGUCGGGACGGUCACGAACCGCUCCGGUGCCGCAGGGAAGUCAUUAAGCCUGCCACCUGGGAAGUACGGCCGCAAGGUUGAAACUUAAAGGAAUUGGCGGGGGAGCACCACAAGGGGUGAAGCUUGCGGUUUAAUUGGAGUCAACACCGGAAAUCUUACCAGGGAAGACAGCGGGAUGAAGGUCAGAUUAAAGGUCUUACCGGACUAGCUGAGAGGAGGUGCAUCGCCGUCGCCAGCUCGUGCCGUGAGGUGUUCUCUUAAGUGAGAUAACG
rnacentral:ncRNA from 1 species